rnacentral:rRNA from 1 species
ACUGAACGCUGGCGGCAUGCUUUACACAUGCAAGUCGAACGGUAACAGGGUGCUUGCACCGCUGACGAGUGGCGAACGGGUGAGUAAUGCGUCGGAACGUGCCGAGUAGUGGGGGAUAACGCAUCGAAAGGUGUGCUAAUACCGCAUACGUACUGAGGUAGAAAGUGGGGGACCUUCGGGCCUCACGCUAUUCGAGCGGCCGGCGUCUGAUUAGCUAGUUGGUGAGGUAAAGGCUGACCAAGGCGACGAUCAGUAGCGGGUCUGAGAGGAUGAUCCGCCACACUGGGACUGAGACACGGCCCAGACUCCUACGGGAGGCAGCAGUGGGGAAUUUUGGACAAUGGGCGCAAGCCUGAUCCAGCCAUGCCGCGUGUCUGAAGAAGGCCUUCGGGUUGUAAAGGACUUUUGUCCGGGAGCAAAUACCCAGUGCUAAUAAUGCUGGGGGCUGAGAGUACCGGAAGAAUAAGCACCGGCUAACUACGUGCCAGCCGCCGCGGUAAGAC